rnacentral:rRNA from 1 species
ACUGAUGUGUUGUUGGGUAGGGGAGCGUUCUGUAAGCCGUUGAAGGUGUGUCGUGAGGCAUGCUGGAGGUAUCAGAAGUGCGAAUGCUGACAUAAGUAACGAUAAAGCGGGUGAAAAGCCCGCUCGCCGGAAGACCAAGGGUUCCUGUCCAACGUUAAUCGGGGCAGGGUGAGUCGACCCCUAAGGCGAGGCCGAAAGGCGUAGUCGAUGGGAAACGGGUUAAUAUUCCCGUACUUGGUGUUACUGCGAAGGGGGGACGGAGAAGGCUAUGUUGGCCGGGCGACGGUUGUCCCGGUUUAAGCGUGUAGGUGUGUGUUCCAGGUAAAUCCGGUUCACUUUAACACUGAGGCGUGACGACGAGGCACUACGGUGCUGAAGCAACAAAUGCCCUGCUUCCAGGAAAAGCCUCUAAGCAUCAGGUAACAUCAAAUCGUACCCCAAACCGACACAGGUGGUCAGGUAGAGAAUACCAAGGCGCUUGAGAGAACUCGGGUGAAGGAACUAGGCAAAAUGGUGCCGUAACUUCGGGAGAAGGCACACUGACACGUAGGUGAAGUGGUUUACCCAUGGAGCUGAAGUCAGUCGAAGAUACCAGCUGGCUGCAACUGUUUAUUAAAAACACAGCACUGUGCAAACACGAAAGUGGACGUAUACGGUGUGACGCCUGCCCGGUGCCGGAAGGUUAAUUGAUGGGGUCAGCGCAAGCGAAGCUCCUGAUCGAAGCCCCGGUAAACGGCGGCCGUAACUAUAACGGUCCUAAGGUAGCGAAAUUCCUUGUCGGGUAAGUUCCGACCUGCACGAAUGGCGUAAUGAUGGCCAGGCUGUCUCCACCCGGGACUCAGUGAAAUUGAACUCGCUGUGAAGAUGCAGUGUACCCGCGGCAAGACGGAAAGACCCCGUGAACCUUUACUAUAGCUUGACACUGAACACUGGUCCUUGAUGUGCAGGAUAGGUGGGAGGCUUUGAAGUGUGGACGCCAGUCUGCAUGGAGCCAUCCUUGAAAUACCACCCUUUAAUGGCUGGUGUUCUAACGUGGGCCCGUGAACCGGGUUGCGGACAGUGUCUGGUGGGUAGUUUGACUGGGGCGGUCUCCUCCUAAAGAGUAACGGAGGAGCACGAAGGUUGGCUAAUCCUGGUCGGACAUCAGGAGGUUAGUGCAAUGGCAUAAGCCAGCUUGACUGCGAGCGUGACGGCGCGAGCAGGUGCGAAAGCAGGUCAUAGUGAUCCGGUGGUUCUGAAUGGAAGGGCCAUCGCUCAACGGAUAAAAGGUACUCCGGGGAUAACAGGCUGAUACCGCCCAAGAGUUCAUAUCGACGGCGGUGUUUGGCACCUCGAUGUCGGCUCAUCACAUCCUGGGGCUGAAGUAGGUCCCAAGGGUAUGGCUGUUCGCCAUUUAAAGUGGUACGCGAGCUGGGUUUAGAACGUCGUGAGACAGUUCGGUCCCUAUCUGCCGUGGGCGCUGGAAGAUUGAGGGGGGCUGCUCCUAGUACGAGAGGACCGGAGUGGACGCAUCACUGGUGUUCGGGUUGUCAUGCCAAUGGCACUGCCCGGUAGCUACAUGCGGAAGAGAUAAGUGCUGAAAGCAUCUAAGCACGAAACUUGCCCCGAGAUGAAUCUUCCCUGAGCCUUUAAGGCUCCUGAAGGAACGUUGAAGACGACGACGUUGAUAGGCCGGGUGUGUAAGCGCAGCGAUGCGUUGAGCUAACCGGUACUAAUGAACCGUGAGGCUUAACCUUACAACGCCGAAG